ACUGCAACAUGCUUGAGAAGCAUUGUACAAGAGUUGUACAUUCAUCAAUCUAUGUGUCACCAAUAACUGUUAGGUGAGGUGGCAUGUAAAUCGGUGGGACCGCAGUACCUACUAGAAACCCUAGUCGUGUGGGAUUUCCGUUUUCCUACCAGGGGAGUGUGAGAAAUUCGAGAAAAUAGUGGGAGUUACAUUUGUUCUAAAAGACC
rnacentral:lncRNA from 1 species